rnacentral:rRNA from 1 species
CCAGACUCCUACGGGAGGCAGCAGUGGGGAAUAUUGCACAAUGGGGGGAACCCUGAUGCAGCGACGCCGCGUGAGUGAAGAAGUAUUUCGGUAUGUAAAGCUCUAUCAGCAGGGAAGAAAAUGACGGUACCUGACUAAGAAGCCCCGGCUAACUACGUGCCAGCAGCCGCGGUAAUACGUAGGGGGCAAGCGUUAUCCGGAUUUACUGGGUGUAAAGGGAGCGUAGACGGCUGGUCAAGUCUGAAGUGAAAGCCCGGGGCUUAACCCCGGAACGGCUUUGGAAACUGAGCAGCUAGAGUGCUGGAGAGGUAAGCGGAAUUCCUAGUGUAGCGGUGAAAUGCGUAGAUAUUAGGAGGAACACCAGUGGCGAAGGCGGCUUACUGGGAAGUAACUGACGUUGAGGCUCGAAAGCGUGGGGAGCGAACAGGAUUAGAUACCCCUGUAGC